rnacentral:rRNA from 1 species
GACGAACCGAGCGAACGUUGUUCGGAAUCACUGGGCUUAAAGGGCGCGUAUGCGGGCUGCCAAGUUUGGGGUGAAAUCCUCCGGCUCAACCGGAGCAGUGCCUCGAAUACUGGCGGUCUCGAGGGAGGUAGGGGCGUGCGGAACUGUGGGUGGAGCGGUGAAAUGCGUUGAUAUCCACAGGAACUCCGGUGGCGAAGGCGGCACGCUGGACCUUUUCUGACGCUGAGGCGCGAAAGCCAGGGGAGCGAACGGG